UGUAAUGCAAAACAAUUAACUCGAGGGGCAAUAGGAAGAUAUCAUUUUACAAAUUACAAAAUGCACCAGACCCCACCAUUCUGUCAUUAUUCUGUUUCAAGUAGUAUUAAAAACCUGUCAUUCUUUUAAGCCAUCACAUUGUUGUUUUCAUACUAAUUUUUAUACCCAUCUAGGACUUCGUCGCCAAAUAUAAAUAAUCUUUGACCUGGUACAUUAGGCGCUAAACAGCAAAACAAAAGAAAACAAAAACAAAGGAAAUAUAAAGCAAGCCAGAACAAACUUACUGGAUGUCCACAAGUGUCCAUUUACUGACCACGGACGGCUGAGUGAAGGCUGGACGGGACUGUUUUGAAAAUCUUUCCGAAUCAACUGAACAAUUUCAAAACAAGGAAUCGAAGAGGAAAUAAAACUCGUGUAGUCGUGUGUCUGUCUGCUGUCUGACUGGGUAGUGGAGCCUUUGUCAGAUCGUACUACGCGUUGCCGCUUCUUGCCGGUGUGGUGGGGGAUGAAGUGAUGCUAUUUCCUUCAUGGAACAUGUCUUGAGCGAGUUUGUUUUAGUUAUGUAUGAUUUCUUCCGCUUCUUCUAUUGCAAUUUUCUUAUCAUUUGAUUCAUCUGCUUGUUUGACUAAGACUAAGAUCGUAUAAAAUUGUAUCAUUUACACAUACCUCUCUUGAAGUGAGUAUAUCAUUUUAUUUAAGUGUCCUACCGACAUAUGACACAUGACACUCGAAAAACGAUGGAUGGACAUACAAUAACAUUUAUUAAUAAUAAAUAACAUUUCACACAUCACAAUGACUUCAUUUACGCAAGUUUAUAAAACAGCAACCUUUUCAAAUAAGAAUCAAUUAAUUGUAUACCAAAGAAAAGUGAAAGGUUGUGGAAGAAUACCAAGUAUGAAGCUACAACGGUAAUAAUGAUUACUGCGUACUGUUGCAUGAACUAAAAUUUAUAUUCCACUGUUGUUUCCUUAUUGUAAAGCAUUCAUCAUUAAAAAAUUGA